GCGCGCGCAAAAGGCAUCCAAUCAGCGUGCGGUCUCCCCGCCGCAGCGCCCCUCCCCGCCCCACCGCGUUCGAAAGUGGGCCGCCAAUCGCCAGGGAGGAGGAGGGAGACGCGCUUGUUUAUCGCUGAACGGUCGCUGAGCGAAGCCGCUGCCAGACGCCUCCUGGAGGGCUCCCAGCAAUGCAGGGUAUAAUCGUACUUGGAUCUAAGAUAUGGAAAGUCAUGACUUGGUGAGUGCUGUGCAAGAAGUCUCUUCAUCUUCUGCAGACUCUGAUGACAGAAAUACCUGCAGUUCUGUUUGCAACUUGAAUUGUAACAGGAGCCCCUCAUCCAAUCCCAGCAGAGUUUCUGGUUACUCAGGGAAUAACAGGUCCUCAUUAAGAGCUGGUUCUGUUGAGCUGCUCUCCUCCUACAUGCGGGAUAUCCAGAACAGUGAGAAUGCUGACUCUGAAACUGUGAAGAGCUGUGAGGCAAGGUGGCUACAGCUGUUGAGACUGGUAGAAAAACAAUGCCAGGAACAAAUACUUGCCCAGCAAGAACAGUUCCACCAUCAAAUCCAACUGAUUCAGAAUGAAAUAAGGCAGUUAGCGAAACUGCAGGCCAGCAGCUGGGGCAUUGACAAGAGCAGAAGUUUGCCUGGGAAGUCUCCAGAUGCCUUCUCGUCGCCAGAAAGUCAAAUGGGGAUGCAUUCUGAAGUCUCUGAAGGAAAUGAAUGCGUUGUCAAUCAGCUGAGAUCUCAUGAAAUCGAACUUCAGCCAAAUGCAGCUGAUCCGUACCAGGAAUGUCUUGCACACGAUGCUUCCAUGAAUAGUGGGUACGGUACCCUGUCUGCCUCUGAACUGACUGCUAGUAAAUCUAAUGAUGUUAUCGAGUGCACAGACUGCAUGGAGAACGCUUCCCAAGGACAGGGUGAUGCAGCAGUAUUGCAGAGUAAUGCAGCUGUAGCCAGCAUUCAACAUACAAGAGAAUUUCUGUCAAAAAAAAUAGACAACUGUCCAUCGGGAGGGAAUGACGCUGUAGGUUUUCCUGCUGAAUUUGAACAUAAGGUGAAUGAAGCUCAAUGCAGGAAAAAAAACAGUAAAUCUUUAACAUCGUGGGCACAAAAGUUGAAGCAAAACCAACCCAAAAGAGUAAACUCAGAAGAAGUACAAGUGAACUCUAUGCAAGGAAAUGAGCAAACAAAGAAUCCACCACUUGAGAAUACAGACUCUACCAAUGCUGCUUUGCCACCUUACACUUUUUACCUCAAUCAGCCAACAAAAAGCCCGAAUUCUGCAGCGUCUGAAGCUUCAGGACUUUCAUACUGGAAACUAGAUGUAAAGGAGAUGUAUCACUCUUUACCAGAGAACUUCAGAAGCGAGUUUGCUGAUGUUUUCUCCACUAAACUAUCACCAGAUCAGUUAUCUUCUGCUGAUGAAAUGAAGCCAUCCUCACUGAAGGAUAUUUAUCAUAAAAGACAAAGAGAAAACAACCAGCUGCCAGACACGAAUUUUAUGCCUUCUUCUCAGACAAGUCACCCACCAGAGAUCUUGACAUUGGACCCAACCCUGCAUAUGAAACCAGGUCAACAGAAUCCAGGACAUUGUUUUUUCAAUAUUCCUGAAGAGAGUACUCCUUUUUCUCCAGACUCUAUGGCGGAUCCCGGAUUUUCAAGUCAUUGUGACACAGACUCAUUUUCACAGACAAGCAGUUUGUCUCAGUUUGAUGAUUCUCCAAAAUAUCCUGCCAGCAGCAGAGCUGUGCAUUUGGACUGCUGGAAAAAUCAUCCAAUCCAAAAUGAAAACAAGGCCAGCUCUCCCUUUCCAGUGGCAUAUACUGAUGCUAACAGUGAUAUUUUAGUAAACACUGAGGAGGAAGAAACAUUGACUCUGACUCCAUCCUCUGUGACUCAGUGUGGUGACAAGAGCUUACCAGACCACAGUAUUUCAGUGACAUCUGCUGAAGAUCCUGUGAUAAUGUCAAAGAUUAGGCAGAACUUGAGGGAAAAACACGCUCGACACAUAGCUGAUCUACGAGCUUACUAUGAUGCUGAAAUACAGAGCUUAAAACAGCAGCUGGAGGCAAGCCAUAAAACUGCUGCUUCUGAAGACCUGAAGGAAAUCAAUCGAAAUCUUGCUGACAGGUGUGACCAGUUAGAUGCAGCUCUGAAUGAAGCAAGCGCUCGCAUAAAAACCCUGGAAAAUAAGAAUAGUAUGCUAGAAAAGCAAGUGGCAGAUUGGAGAGAACGCUUUUAUGGAGUCAGUGAUACUUCCAAAGCUUUGCAGGAACAUCUUGAAGAAAUGCGCACAAGUAAUAAGGAGAAGGAUAAUACCAUCAGUAGACUAAAAUCAAGGCUUAAAGAUCUAGAGGAAGCGUUUGAAAAAGCUUAUAAAUUAUCUGAUAAUAAAAAUACAAGGUUAAAAGAGGAAAAUAAAAUGUUUCAAAAUCUUUUAGGAGAAUAUGAUUCCCUUGGAAAAGAACAUGAAAGGGUAAAGGAUACCUUAAAUGCAACUGAAAUCAAACUGCUUGAUGCAAACACCCAGAUCUCCGAUUUGAAAAGGACAAUUUCAAAACUUGAAGCUCAGCUCAAGCAGGUAGAGCAUGAAAAUAUGUUGAAACUUCGCCAUAUUACUGAAAGCCGUCUACGAGCCUCUUGUGCCAACAAGUUGGCUGCUCCUGAUGUCAGCAGGAGAAAGUGGCUGAUACCGGGAGCAGAGUACUCAAUCUUCACUGGCCAGCCUUUGGAAGUCCAAGAAAGCCCCAAGGAUAACAGGCUCGAAGAAGCCUAUAUUCCUUCCAGGUACCAUUCUCCUCCUGAAAAAGACUCCUCACAAGAAGACUCUUCAACAAACACAUUUGAAAAGAAGGACAAUGAGAUGUCAGAAGCACCAAUUAUAAAAGCCUUUAAAGAACUUGAAGAAAUAAAAGCUUUUAAGGAUUGGGGUACACAGACAGAAAAAGAAGAGACAUCAACUAAAACGUCGAGUCGACGUCAAACCGUUGGGUUUGUUGAAACUUCCGUGGUUUCCAACCGAUCCCCAGAGAAAGGCAGAGACCAGCAGAGACCCAAGCGAUACAGCUCCCCGUGUGGCCAGAGGUCUUCGUCUCUUCCUCCAUCAAACAGGAGAUCGAAUACUCCAACAAGACGAGAGAUCAUGUUGGCGCCAGUGUCUGUGACAUACAGCCCGAAACGAUCUCCAAAAGAAAAUCUCUCUCCUGGAUUUAGCCAUUUACUUAGCAAGAAUGAAAACACAGUGACAAGAUUUGAUAUACUUCUAGAUGACCUGGAAACUGGUCCCCCAUCUACUUUACAGCACAGUAAUCCAAGAAAAAGGCUCCAGUUUCUUUCACUCGAUGAUACAGAAGGAAGGCAGCGUUCAGGCGUCAGACACAGCUCUUGUGCUGGAUCUGUCAGUACUGGAAUGAAGAAAACAACAGCUCGGGACGAGAGGAGCGUAGCACAGAACUGUGAGCCAGUGCUAACACCUUGUGAGGGAGACUUCCCGUACACAGCGAGGAUUCAGACUCUGGCUGAAACAGAGAAGCUCUUCGAUGAGCUGACUCAAGAAAAGCAACAGGCAAAAAUGAUAUUAAUUUUAAAGUUAUUGAGGCUGCUUUGAGUCGAAUACCUUGUUCUGGUGGAAGAAUGACCUUGCAAGCAAGAUUAAAUCAGGAAGCCCUGGAGGAUCGCUUGGAAAGGAUUAACAGAGAUCUGGGAUCGAUACGCAUGACCCUGAAAAGAUUCCAUGUUUUACGUACCUCUGCAAAUCUUUGACAAUUCUCUCUUCAAUUCAAAUAUGCUUUUUUUUUUUUUGCACUAAUAUAUAAUUAUGCACUCGGUAAAUGCAAAUGUUUUGUAUUUUUAUAAGCCCUCAAUAGUAGUUUUACAACCACGUUACCCUUUACACACAGCAAUAUUUUGUACUUCAAACAGCCACCUCUAUUUGAAACGUAUUUUUGUUACACUUGAGAACGUAAUGUUUAUCCUGUAUUGUAAUAUUUUUAGAAAUGGUAAUUAUUUUUAAAUAGCGAUAUUCAAUUUAUAAUAAGAAACUAAAAGGCAGCUUGUUUUCCAAAAGUGAUGGUGUUUUGCACUUGUUUUCCUCACCGUUUUAUAGAUAUGUACGGCAUGUUGUAAAUACUGGCUAAUAGGAAGUCUUGAACUUCAAUACAAAAGGCAACAUGAAUUACCAGUGUCAGACAACUACCAUUACGUAGUAAAUCCUUUUCAUUGGCACCUCGUGGGUAUUUGUCUUGGUGACAAAACCACAAGCAGUAGUAGUGCUUCGAUGCCACGAGAGCCAGGAUUCCUGCAGCUGACAGCAGCCAGCUCUUCUCCCAGCCAGCUACUCGACUGCAGCGGGCCCUGCAGGACGGCACCUCGCUGCCUGGAGCUGCUGCUGGAAGGUCAGGGUGGGUUUGUGCCAGUGUUCAGAGCGCGGCGAUGAGCGCACGCUUCCCCGUGAGAUCCGAGCUGUCCUUGUGAACAGACAUGCAUUCUUCUUGGUGGGGAAAAAAAACAAAACUCUGCAUUUGCUCGCUGGCAGAUCGUUGGAAUUACUGUUCAACAUUGAUCUUUUAGUUUGUAUUUUCAUAUUAAAUAAAUGUUUAAUUAGAUUCUUUCUCCCAGCCCAAGAACAAUAAUAGGAUCUGGGAUGUUACAUCAGCAAUAAGGUUUUAAUCAUAUUGUGUGUUUCAAGUUCUGUCCUUGUUCAAGAUGUUGAGCCACUAAUGAUGUGAUUAUUUUGCAGUGGGAAGGCCAGAAUAGCUGUUGUGAAGGAAGCUCGUGAAGGUCUGAUUCUAAUUUUAGAGUGCUGUUUUUUAAAGAUAUUUAAUGAAGAACUGUCCUACAUCAACGCACAGUACUUUUUUCUUAGAAAAAGCUUUAUUUAUUUAUUUAUCAAGUGCUUUGUGCAUCUCCUCCUGCCCUGCGGGUUGUUUUGAUACAAGAUCAGAGAAGUCAAGGCUCCAAGUUACUCAUUUUUCCUUCUGCUCUGCGAUGUUGAAAUUGGGCCUGAAUGCUUGGCAGUAACUUGAAUAUACUUCCAGGCUCUGCUAGCAGAUGCUUAAUUCUGAUGGUAUUUCAUAUUCUUCCCUGAGAGGAGGGAGGAAGAAAAAAAAAAAUCUCUACUUCCCCAUGCAACUCUACUAUUUAGCUGAAGAAGUUUCUUUCCACCACUUUCAAUUACGAACAGGCACAGUGUACAAGUACCAUUCUCAAGCCUCACUGAGCCGGCAGGAUUUCUUGCAAGGAAUCCAUCACCACAAAACUUAACAUGGGUCCAUUGAAUGGGCUUGUUUUCUUUCUUGUGCUGCUGCAAAAACAGGCACAAUGCUCCUGACAGGCAUUAUAAACGAGCAGGUAAAUCAGUUCAGCUCUAUCCCAGCCUUUCCUUCUAACCUCCCUUUAUUUCCAUGCCAUUCUCUCCAGCGCUAUUCAUAUUCAUGUACUCUUUUUUUAUUACCUCCAGAAAACUGAAGCGUGAGUCAGAAUUUAUUUUUUAAUCAAAAGCCCUCCUCCAUCUGUUGGAGCUCUUCAGGCUAUUUCUGUUCUAUCCUAACACGGAACGGGGGGGGGGGGGGAUUCAAAGCGCUGCUCUUAGUAAACUUUUAGGCCAACGUCUUAGAAGUGGCUGGCAGGUGUGGGCUGACCCGUGUCAGUCGGAGCCUUCGGCCUCAUCCCUCCGCGGGGCAGCGGAGCUGCAGUUCCAGAGGAGAGCAGUGGGAGGCCUGAACGCUCAGCGCUUCUGAAAAAUCAGCCCUGAAGCAUCAAAAAAACGAAAAGUGGGGCACGUCUGGAAAACGCGCCUCAACUGGCCGUGCGCUCUGCUGGACAAUGGCUUAUUAAUUUUUUUAAUAAACCCCUUUAAAAUUCUUUGCCUUCA